UACGGAGGAUGCGAGCGUUAUCCGGAUUUAUUGGGUUUAAAGGGUGCGUAGGCGGCUUUUUUAAGUCAGCGGUGAAAUUUUGCAGCUUAACUGUAACAGUGCCGUUGAUACUGGGGAGCUAGGAUUUGGUUGCUGUGGGUGGAAUGUGUGGUGUAGCGGUGAAAUGCUUAGAUAUCACUAGGAACUCCGAUUGCGCAGGCAGCUUACUAAACCACUACUGGCGCUCAGGCACGAAGGCGUGGGGAUCAAACAGGAUUAGAUACCCCGGUA
rnacentral:rRNA from 1 species